CUUAAAAAAAAUGUAAGAAAAGAAAAGGAAGACGCAAAUCACAGGUAAAGCGUAGAAGUGCAGCGAGUUUCAAUGUUGUUGCUCUCAUUCUGAAUCCAGACAAACCGAAAAUCUCCCUUUUUUGCCACACAUUUUAUUCUUCUCUCUCUAUCUUAAAGGGUUCCUAAACAUGGGACUAGCUCUGGGUUGUCUUCAAGUCGAACAGUCAACAGUAGCGAUCCGAGAAGUUUUUGGGAGAUAUGAGGAUGUGCUUGAACCUGGUUGCCACUGUGUGCCAUGGUUCAUGGGUAGACAAAUAGCCGGUUACCUUUCUUUGCGUGUGCAGCAACUAGAUGUUCACUGUGAAACCAAGACAAAGGACAAUGUUUUUGUGACUGUGGUUGCGUCUGUCCAAUAUCGAGCACUGGCAGAAAAGGCGGUGGAUGCUUUUUACAAACUUACAAAUACCAGAGAACAGAUCCAAGCCUAUGUUUUUGAUGUUAUCCGUGCAACCGUUCCGAAAAUGGAACUAGACUCUUCUUUUGAACAGAAAAAUGAUAUUGCAAAAGCCGUUGAGGAAGAGCUUGAAAAGGCGAUGUCUGCUUACGGGUAUGAGAUAGUUCAGACUCUCAUUGUGGAUAUUGAACCAGAUGAGCAUGUGAAAAAAGCCAUGAAUGAGAUAAAUGCCGCUGCAAGACUUAGAGUGGCCGCAAAUGAGAAAGCUGAAGCAGAGAAGAUUCUAUACAUCAAAAGGGCAGAGGGAGAUGCAGAAUCAAAGUAUCUAGCAGGGCUUGGAAUAGCUCGUCAGCGUCAAGCCAUAGUGGACGGAUUGAGGGACAGUGUUGUUGCAUUUGCAGAGAAUGUCCCCGGGACAUCAUCAAAGGAUGUCAUGGACAUGGUUCUUGUGACCCAAUACUUUGACACGUUGAAGGAGAUUGGCGCAUCGUCAAAAUCCAAUUCGAUUUUUGUUCCACACGGACCAGGUGCUGUGAAAGAUAUUGCUUCACAAGUCAGAGAGGGUCUUCUCCAAGGGAAUGUCGCCGGGCAUUGAAGUUUGAAACAUCACAUCAUCAAAACUUUGAGAAUUUAUACUCUAAACUCCAUUUUGUCAAUCACUUAUUUAGCAGCAGAGUCAAGCUUGCAUCUUUUGUGACAAGUCUCACCUGAACUUGAUAAUUAAGAUAUUGUUUCAUAUAAUGGUGUGGGAUUAUCUUGGAAGGUUGACAAGGGUUCAGAUUUUACGAUACCCCGCUGUAGAUUCUUCCAAUGUUCUAGGAUUAUUCCAAUUUUAUCUCUUAAUAGAAAUGCAGUUUUAUAUAAUGCUGGACUCAUUUUAUGCAAUUCAGUUUUCUUAUUUUGCCACCUAAGCUC